UUGAUCAGCUGGGGAUUGAAAUAGGCUGUUUAUUUUUGCUUACUCGGUUCUGAUCAGUGACCCGGGCAAAGCAGUGUCAAAUAUCCAAUUUUCUGUCGGUCACAUUGAACGUAACAAACAGGCUACGCUGCCCCCGUGUUUCACGUGUGUGCACAGACAGUAACCUCGUGUCACAGCCAUACACACACAGGCUAAAACAUGUCUUAGAUGUGUGGAAGUUAUCCACGAGCGUGAAGAAGACGCAACGCUCACUGCAUCUGCAGAGAAACACACAGAAAGAGACGCUGUGGAUAGUGUAAAGCAGGGAGCAGGUAAAGCAACAGUGAACACAGCUGUUGGUGACGAUGUCAUUCAUACCACUAUGGUCUCUAUUGGUAAUUAACAACAAACCUCUUCCACACGCCCCUCAUCUGCUGCUGUGAAAACGGAAUUGCGGGUGGAAAACCAAACGCCAGUUAUUUUAAUAAAACUGCUGACAAAUAAAGUCAGAGACAGACAGGUGUGUGCUUGUGUGUCUGAUGGGGAAAAUCAAGUUAUAGUUCUUAGAAAGAAAGAAAAUCGGAAUCGGCCCAAAUUAGAAUCGAUGGGUCAGUGUUGUGGUGGCAGCCUGGCUGACGGUGAGUGUCCUGGUUUUUUCUCCUUUUUGUCUGUAAUUCUGUUUUUUCCCUGGUUUUCUCUGCCUCCCUGUGUCUCCUCCCCUGUGUGUGCUCUCUCUCUCUCUCUCUCCCUCCGCUCAUGAGCCCAGCCAACGACCCGCACCUGCAUCUCGUCAACCUCCUCCUCUGCCUGCCACACCUGCCAGCAAUCAAAUUCACUUCUGCCAGUACUUCAACCCCAGUUCUCCACACUACCUCUGCUUGAUCAUCGUUGCUCCUAACCCAGUGCCACUUCACCAUUCAAGCUCACACGUAUUCAGCAUCUUUUUGAUUUCCCUGUGUUUUGUCUCUGCUGUGUCUGACCCUGUUUCUCUGUCUCUCUCCCCAGGUUCACUCACCCUCACCCUCAGCCAAGUCAGCUGGGCUCGUUCACCUGCCCUCUCCCCUCGGACUUCCCCCAAGGCGUCCUCCCAGUUCUCCCCUGCCUCCUCUCUUCCUCUGCCCCUAGUGUUCCCCGGUCUCAUUCUCCUUGGUUCCCUGUGCCUGCGUUUCCCCGGAAUCCACCUCUCCCUCAACCCCAUUUUUCCCCAAAUAAAACCUGUUAAUCCCCAGA